rnacentral:lncRNA from 1 species
GCAAUCACAACAAUAAUAUAACACAUAACAAUAUUUUAAUAACAACAAUUUUGUCUCAUAUGUGAGUAAAAUGUAACUGUUAGUUAAAUACUAUACAACACUACACUAAACAAUACAUGAUACAACAUGCUUAAAUUAUGCAUAAUCCAAUUUUAAACUCUCAAAACACGGUUCUUCAUCGACCACACAGACUGGUUUCAUAGUUUGGAUAAGCUUUUUCAUGAGAGGCUUCUUGAGUACGUGGAGAGGGCGCCUUGGUUAACAAUGUCGGCGUUUGUGAGCGGCACUGGUGAAAACGGCUAGCUUCCACCUCUGUGUUCCCAGCUGCUUUACACGGAAUCCUUGUUCCAGACAAGCAACCAUUUCCUUUAAUAUGGUGCCACUAGCUUCGACCGCCACCACUCCAACUUCAUGACGUCUGUUUGAGGCGGUGAGCUUUAGGAGGUAACUGCUAUCCUGAUUUAACGACGUCUGUUACUGGUGGCGACGACAAGAAUGUCUUAGGCGAGGGUAGCUUUAGACGAUGACUAUCACCACUCCGCAUCGAUCAUACUACAUGUUUACAGCAAACAUUCAAACAAAAUUAAUCGAUACAGACGCAAAGUAAUCACCCAAACUAUCAACAAAAUUAGGGAAUUUCCGUUUGAUCAAUAAAUU